UACAGAGGUCUCAAGCGUUGUUCGGAUUCAUUGGGCGUAAAGGGUGCGUAGGCGGCGCGGUAAGUCGGGUGUGAAAUCUCAGGGCUCAACCCUGAAACUGCAUUCGAUACUGCGCGGCUAGAGUGCUGGAGGGGAGACUGGAAUUUACGGUGUAGCAGUGAAAUGCGUAGAUAUCGUAAGGAAGACCAGUGGCGAAGGCGAGUCUCUGGACAGCAACUGACGCUGAGGCACGAAGGCC
rnacentral:rRNA from 1 species